UUCCGGUUGAUCCUGCCAGACCUGACUGCUAUCGGAUUGAUACUAAGCCAUGCAAGUCUUUGUAGUAAUACAAGGCAUACGGCUCAGUAACGCGUAGUCAACCUACCCUAUGGAUGGGGAUAAUCUCGGGAAACUGAGCAUAAUACCCAACAGAUCAUCAAUUCUGGAAUGGUUGAUGAUUCAAAUGAUUUUUCGCCAUAGGAUGGGACUGCGGCCUAUCAGCUUGUUGGUGAGGUAAUGGCCCACCAAGGCAAUUACAGGUACGGGCUCUGAGAGGAGAAGCCCGGAGAUGGGUACUGAGACAAGGACCCAGGCCCUAUGGGGCGCAGCAGGCGAGAAAACUUUGCAAUGUGCGAAAGCACGACAAGGUUAAUCCGAGUGAUUUCUGCUAAAGGAAUCUUUUACCAGUUCUAAAAAUACUGGCGAAUAAGGGGUGGGCAAGUUCUGGUGUCAGCCGCCGCGGUAAAACCAGCACCUCAAGUGGUCAGGAGGAUUAUUGGGCCUAAAGCAUCCGUAGCCGGCUCUGUAAGUUUUCGGUUAAAUCUAUAUGCUCAACGUAUAGGCUGCCGAAAAUACUGCACAGCUAGGGAAUGGGAGAGGUAGACGGUACUCGGUAGGAAGGGGUAAAAUCCUUUGAUCUAUCGAUGACCACCUGUGGCGAAGGCGGUCUACCAGAACAUGUUCGACGGUGAGGGAUGAAAGCUGGGGGAGCAAACCGGAUUAGAUACCCGGGUAGUCCCAGCUGUAAACGAUGCAGACUCGAUAAUGCACUGGCACAUAGCCAGUGCAGUGUCGCAGGGAAGCCGUUAAGUUUGCCGCCUGGGAAGUACGUACGCAAGUAUGAAACUUAAAGGAAUUGGCGGGGGAGCACCACAAGGGGUGAAGCCUGCGGUUCAAUUGGACUCAACGCCGGGA
rnacentral:rRNA from 1 species